rnacentral:rRNA from 1 species
AGUGAACGCUGGCGGUAGGCCUAACACAUGCAAGUCGAACGGCAGCACAGUAAGAGCUUGCUCUUACGGGUGGCGAGUGGCGGACGGGUGAGGAAUACAUCGGAAUCUACUUUUUCGUGGGGGAUAACGUAGGGAAACUUACGCUAAUACCGCAUACGACCUACGGGUGAAAGCAGGGGAUCUUCGGACCUUGCGCGAUUGAAUUAGCCGAUGUCGGAUUAGCUAGUUGGCGGGGUAAAGGCCCACCAAGGCGACGAUCCGUAGCUGGUCUGAGAGGAUGAUCGGCGACACUGGAACUGAGACACGGUCCAGACUCCUACGGGAGGCAGCAGUGGGGAAUAUUGGACAAUGGGCGCAAGCCUGAUCCAGCCAUACCGCGUGGGUGAAGAAGGCCUUCGGGUUGUAAAGCCCUUUUGUUGGGAAAGAAAAGCAGCAGGUUAAUACCCCGCUGUUCUGACGGUACCCAAAGAAUAAGCACCGGCUAACUUCGUG